AAGGAUCAUUAAUGAAAAACAUAAUCCGGCGAGGGAAAGGCGGAGAGUUGUAGCUGGCCUUAGGGCAACGUGCACGCUCUCUUCCGGACUUUCGUCGUAUGGGCGUGGGGGGGCGACCCCUCGCGUCUUCAUAUACCUCUUCGUGUAGAAAGUCUUGGAAUGUUAUCAUCAUCAUGGAGUCGCGACUUCCAGGAGACGCGGUUCUUUGAGACAAAAGUUAUUACAACUUUCAGCAACGGAUCUCUUGGCUCUC
rnacentral:misc_RNA from 1 species